GUAAGGGCGAUCUGGAUGCGACAUCUGUCACCCCAUUGAUCACCAGAGUUUAUUCAACUGAUCUGGCUGCCUAGGCAUGUGUCCCCUUCCUCUGUCACCACUCCAUGUGUGUCCCUCCCAAAGUUGCAGGCUCAGUCGAAGAGGAUGACCUUCACUGAAUAGAGGAGGACUGGUCUUUGGUCAAGGAUAUAGGAUAGCUGCUCUCCCCUGCUAAAACCUCCAAACAAGCUCUCAAGGUCCACUUGUAGGAGAAUGUAAGGUAGUCACACUUAAAAAAGAUUUAAAUACCUUAUUUUGUAUGUCUUUGAAGUGUUUGAAGAUUACCUAUCUAA
rnacentral:snRNA from 1 species